UCACUGUGCGCGUCCGGUGUCAUUCGCGCUCGGUUGUGUGCGUGUGCAUGUGGUUACUGUAAGAUGGAGAAAACGGGUGAGAGAAAAGUGAGUGACAAAUAGGAAGAUGUUAAGCCGGGUGGUGUGCUGAUCAUUUUCAAGCGGGCAGAGCUACGUGGAAAAAAAACAAAAUACAAACAAACCCCCCAAGGGUGAAGGAAAGCUUCAGUUUCCAGGCUUUUAUGUCACCCCGGGGGCCGGAAAUGAAGAGAAUCCAAUUCGUAUUCGUCACCGCCGGUGGGUACGGAGCACAUAGAGAAGAAGGAUUUCCAAACAAAUUCACCAGCACUGUGAAAAAGGGGGCUCUCAUCACAAUGCGGUAAAAGUGAAUGGCGUAAAAGGGUGGUGGUCAGCGAACCUUGAAAUAGAGCAGCAUUGGACUAUAUCCACAACAAAGCACUAGUGUGCAGGGAUUGUUCUUUGAUGAAAGAAAAGAGAAAUUUUCACAUUCUACUGUGAAAACUAAUACAAAAUAGUUGUAGUAUAAUAAUAGUAGCAGUAGUAGUUAGUACAGUGAAACUAUGAUUAUCUAUUAAUCGUGGUUAGCUACUUUCCGAAUAAGCGGACAACACGGAUAAUCGGUUAAAUUUUUUCGGUUUAGCUGACAUCGCACAUAGGGAUAACAGGUGGACAUUUCGAAAAAUAAAUAAAAAAUAAAUAAAUAAAAUAAAAAAUAUAUAAAAAUAAAUAAAAUUAAUGAAAAAUAAAACGAAUGACCUGUUUGAUUUUCCUGUUUGAAUUAAAUUUCUAUAUUAGGACAACAAUUUUUUUUUUAAUCAUUAGUAUAUUACUCCUGCAUUAUUUACCAAUUA